CACACACACACACACACACUGAAAUGAACCCAUCACCUCGUACCUUCCACUGGUCUGUUAAUCAUUGAUCUGAAGAGGGAGCCAAUUAUACCACAGUAAGACUCUGGUCUCCACCUUCCUCAAACAUCCUCUAUAGCUGGGUCUGUGUUGAGUAACGCGGGUUAACCCUCCCUAUGAGUAGCACGGGUUAACCCUCCCUAUGAGUGGCACGGGUUAACCCUCCCUAUGAGUAGCAUGGGUUAACCCUCCCUAUGAGUAACACGGGUUAACCCUCCCUAUGAGUAACACGGGUUAACCCUCCCUAUGAGUAACACGGGUUAACCCUCCCUAUGAGUAGCACGGGUUAACCCUCCCUAUGAGUAGCACGGGUUAACCCUCCCUAUGAGUAAUAUGGGUUAACCCUCCCUGUUCCCUAUGAGUAACACGGGUUAACCCUCCCUAUGAGUAACACGGGUUAACCCUCCCUAUGAGUAGCACGGGUUAACCCUCCCUAUGAGUAGCACGGGUUAACCCUCCCUAUGAGUAACACGGGUUAACCCUCCCUAUGAGUAACACGGGUUAACCCUCCCUGUUCCCUAUGAGUAACACGGGUUAACCCUCCCUGUUCCCUAUGAGUAACACGGGUUAACCCUCCCUAUGAGUAACACGGGUUAACCCUCCCUGUUCCCUGUGAGUAACACGGGUUAACCCUCCCUGUUCCCUAUGAGUAACAUGGGUUAACCCUCCCUAUGAGUAGCAUGGGUUAACCCUCCCUAUGAGUAGCACGGGUUAACCCUCCCUGUUCCCUAUGAGUAACAUGGGUUAACCCUCCCUAUGAGUAACAUGGGUUAACCCUCCCUAUGAGUAGCACGGGUUAACCCUCCCUGUGAGUAACACGGGUUAACCCUCCAUGUUCCCUGUGAGUAACACGGGUUAACCCUCCCUGUUCCCUAUGAGUAACAUGGGUUAACCCUCCCUAUGAGUAACAUGGGUUAACCCUCCCUAUGAGUAACAUGGGUUAACCCUCCAUGUGAGUAACACGGGUUAACCCUCCCUAUGAGUAACAUGGGUUAACCCUCCCUAUGAGUAACAUGGGUUAACCCUCCAUGUGAGUAACAUGGGUUAACCCUCCCUAUGAGUAGCACGGGUUAACCCUCCCUGUUCCCUAUGAGUAAUGCGGGUUAACCCUCCCUGUUCCCUAUGAGUAAUGCGGGUUAACCCUCCCUAUGAGUAACAUGGGUUAACCCUUCCUGUUCCCUAUGAGUAACAUGGGUUAACCCUCCCUGUUCCCUAUGAGUAACACGGGUUAACCCUCCCUGUUCCCUAUGAGUAGCACGGGUUAACCCUCCCUGUUCCCUAUGAGUAACACGGGUUAACCCUCCCUGUUCCCUAUGAGUAACACGGGUUAACCCUCCCUGUUCCCUGUGAGUAACGCGGGUUAACCCUCCCUGUUCCCUAUGAGUAACACGGGUUAACCCUCCCUGUUCCCUAUGAGUAACACGGGUUAACCCUCCCUGUUCCCUAUGAGUAACACGGGUUAACCCUCCCUGUUCCCUAUGAGUAACACGGGUUAACCCUCCCUGUUCCCUAUGAGUAAUGCGGGUUAACCCUCCCUGUGAGUAACGCGGGUUAACCCUCCCUGUGAGUAACGCGGGUUAACCCUCCCUGUGAGUAACGCGGGUUAACCCUCCCUGUGAGUAACGCGGGUUAACCCUCCCUGUGAGUAACGCGGGUUAACCCUCCCUGUGAGUAACACGGGUUAACCCUCCUUAUGAGCCCUGGUCUAAAGCAGUGUCCUCUAUAGGAUGUAGGGUGCCUAUGAGCCAGUGAUUCCAGCUGUUCGUCUCUCAGAGCUUUGGCAGUGAUUCCAGCUGUUCGUCUCUCAGAGCUUUGGCAGUGAUUCCAGCUGUUCGUCUCUAAGAGCUUUGGCAGUGAUUCCAGCUGUUCGUCUCUCAGAGCUUUGGCAGUGAUUCCAGCUGUUCGUCUCUCAGAGCUUUGGCAGUGAUUCCAGCUGUUCGUCUCUAAGAGCUUUGGCAGUGAUUCCAGCUGUUCGUCUCUAAGAGCUUUGGCAGUGAUUCCAGCUGUUCGUCUCUCAGAGCUUUGGCAGUGAUUCCAGCUGUUCGUCUCUAAGAGCUUUGGCAGUGAUUCCAGCUGUUCGUCUCUAAGAGCUUUGGCAGUGAUUCCAGCUGUUCGUCUCUCAGAGCUUUGGCAGUGAUUCCAGCUGUUCGUCUCUAAGAGCUUUGGCAGUGAUUCCAGCUGUUCGUCUCUCAGAGCUUUGGCAGUGAUUCCAGCUGUUCGUCUCUAAGAGCUUUGGCAGUGAUUCCAGCUGUUAGUCUCUAAGAGCUUUGGCAGUGAUUCCAGCUGUUAGUCUCUCAGAGCUUUGGCAGUGAUUCCAGCUGUUCGUCUCUCAGAGCUUUGGCAGUGAUUCCAGCUGUUCGUCUCUAAGAGCUUUGGCAGUGAUUCCAGCUGUUCGUCUCUCAGAGCUUUGGCAGUGAUUCCAGCUGUUCGUCUCUAAGAGCUUUGGCAGUGAUUCCAGCUGUUCGUCUCUAAGAGCUUUGGCAGUGAUUCCAGCUGUUAGUCUCUCAGAGCUUUGGCAGUGAUUCCAGCUGUUCGUCUCUCAGAGCUUUGGCAGUGAUUCCAGCUGUUCGUCUCUCAGAGCUUUGGCAGUGAUUCCAGCUGUUCGUCUCUAAGAGCUGUGGCAGUGAUUCCAGCUGUUCGUCUCUAAGAGCUUUGGCAGUGAUUCCAGCUGUUCGUCUCUCAGAGCUUUGGCAGUGAUUCCAGCUGUUCGUCUCUCAGAGCUGUGGCAGUGAUUCCAGCUGUUCGUCUCUAAGAGCUUUGGCAGUGAUUCCAGCUGUUCGUCUCUCAGAGCUUCGGCAGUGAUUCCAGCUGUUAGUCUCUAAGAGCUUUGGCAGUGAUUCCAGCUGUUCGUCUCUCAGAGCUGUGGCAGUGAGUCCAGCUGUUCGUCUCUAAGAGCUUUGGCAGUGAUUCCAGCUGUUCGUCUCUAAGAGCUUUGGCAGUGAUUCCAGCUGUUAGUCUCUCAGAGCUGUGGCAGUGAGUCCAGCUGUUCGUCUCUCAGAGCUUUGCACACCUGGAUUGUACAACAUUUGCCCAUUUCUAUUAUUUUCAAACUGCUUCAUGCUCUUUCGAAUUGGUUGUUGAUCACUGCUAGACAACCGUUCUGCACCCUAUUCCCUAUGUAGUGCACCCUAUUCCCUAUGUAGUGCACCCUAUUCCCUAUGUAGUGCACCCUAUUCCCUAUGUAGUGCACCCUAUUCCCUAUGUAGUGUGACCAGCUGCAAGCUCAGAUGUGGUGGUUCCAUUCUGCACCCUAUUCCCUAUGUAGUGUCUCCUCAGGUUGACAGAGGAUCAGUACAGGGAGGGGUUGGUUCUGUUCUACUCAGGUUGACAGAGGAUCAGUACAGGGAGGGGUUGGUUCUGUUCUACUCAGGUUGACAGAGGAUCAGUACAGGGAGGGGUUGGUUCUGUUCUCCUCAGGUUGAUCAGUACAGGGAGGGGUUGGUUCUGUUCUCCUCAGGUUGAUCAGUACAGGGAGGGGUUGGUUCUGUUCUCCUCAGGUUGACAGAGGAUCAGUACAGGGAGGGGUUGGUUCUGUUCUCCUCAGGUUGACAGAGGAUCAGUACAGGGAGGGGUUGGUUCUGUUCUCCUCAGGUUGACAGAGGAUCAGU